UCCCCAGUGCUUCCGGCACAGGAGUGGAGGGUGCAUUUCUCUGGCUUAACGAAUAGCGUCACUGUCUGCCGCCCAAGGAAGACGCCUCCUCCUCUCAUGCAGAGUCACUCAGCUUGCAUUCGGGGCCUGCUUCACUCCUCUCUGACUCUCAGCAGCUGUGGAGCUUGACAAGCAUGUCACUGUUGGCGGCUCUUAUGGCCGUGAUGGUUUGGCCUUAUGGAUUUGCACAAGAAAUUCCCCAGCAGAGCCCUAUAUCCAUCACCAAGUCUAAAGGAAGUAUACGUCUGAAAUGUAACUUUAAAGACGUCUCUGGAAAUUUUGAAGACACCAUCAUACACUGGUAUCAACAGAAGGAGGAUAAAAGUCCAGAUAGGGUACUCUACUCUACAGAAGGGAAAAUGACUGUAGACAGUAGCUUCCUAGAGCACAGGUAUAUGGUUGAAAGAGUUUCUAGCCAGAAACUGUGUAUUCUCACAAUAAAAGAUGUAAUUGCAGAAGAUGCUGCUACCUAUUACUGUGCCUACUGGAAAACUCACUACUUCAAAAUAUUUGGCUCUGGUACGAAACUCCUUGUAUCAGAUAAAGGAUAUACCGCACCAACCAACUUUGAAAUCCUGAGUAGCGAAAAUGAAAAUAAGCUGACCUAUGUUUGCCUUGUUGAGAAAUUCUACCCAGAAGUUAUUCGGGUGACGUGGACUGAAGAAGAAAAUAAGGAGGUGACAGCUAAUGUAGUAAAUGGAGAGGUCUGGAAAUCUGCAGAAGAUGACCAAUACUCUAUUGGCAGCUGGUUAACCGUACCAAAAGAGAACAAAACCAAGAAAUAUUCUUGCAAAUAUGAGCAUGAAAGCAAAGAGGAUUCACUUGCCACCACUUCCACACAAGAUCUUACAAAGACUGUGGAGGAACAGGACUGCAGCACAUAUUCUGGAAAUAGCACAACAAUUUUUUAUGGAGAUCACUUAAUGCACAGGACGGCGUAUUUAGUGUACAUAGUCCUUCUUCUGAAAAGCUCCAUGUAUUACAUCAUUGUACUCUUCUUCAUAUACAGAAUGAGGACUCCAGCUAAGCACCAUGGAAAGAAAACAUAAGAUAAUGAUUUUGUAAAUCUUUUCUAAACCAGCAGUUAUGUUUUCUUUGCUGUAAGCUUGUUAAGUUUGCUUUGCUGUAUACUUAUUCAUAUGGACAGCCCUAGCUCCUAGUGUUACAUAUAAUAACAAAAAAACCAAAUGGAUUUUCUAUCACUAGUGCACAUGGCCUGUUUUGCUGUACAGCUAGCAGUUUUAUAUCAAUCUCUGCUUCUCCUAAUUUUUCUGAGUAUUGAAAUGGCAGAGGGCAAGAGGAGUAAGGUUACAUUUCUAGCAUUUUAAUAGGAAUUUAGUAUUGCAAAAUAAGGAAAGUCCUUGUGUUAAAAAUAGUUAUGCAUGCAGAAAAAGUUUAGAGGUUUAAUGGAACUUUUGAUAUUUAAAGCACAGAUGCAUUUUUUCAUAAUGUUUAAGGCUUAAUUAGGGGCAUUUCAGUGCUGUAAAGUGACAGAUAUUUGUUCUUUUGACUUAUAGUAUUUGCCUUAUAUUACAUAUUGCUUUUAAAAGAUUCCAUUAAACACAACAUUUUGAAAUACUGUGUUUGUUUUUUUUUUAAAUGAAGAUUAAUGAGCAUAAAAGCAAUUCUAAGGUGCACACCUACAUAAAUCUCAGAAAUUCACCAGGCCACAGACCAACACUGUUACACAAAUUUUAAACCUGAACACUGUAUUUUUAAAGAAACAAAACAGUUGUAAUGAUCAUGAACAUUAUCUUAUUUAGAGAAACCUUUUAAAGUUGAGUAAAGCUUUAAAUCUGAAGCUCUAAUAGAGCAAGAGUUUUCACAAAGAGGA